CCCUUAGAUGUUCGGGGCCGCACGCGCGCUACACUGAAGGAAUCAACGUGUGUCUUCCCUGGCCCGGAAGGGUCGGGUAACCCGUUGAACCUCCUUCGUGCUAGGGAUUGGGGAUUGUAAUUCUUCCCCAUGAACGAGGAAUUCCCAGUAAGCGCGAGUCAUAAGCUCGCGUUGAUUACGUCCCUGCCCUUUGUACACACCGCCCGUCGCUACUACCGAUUGGAUGGUUUAGUGAGAUCCUCGGAUUGGUCCUGGCGUGGUGGGCAACUUCCGUGUCAUGGCGCCGAGAAGACGAUCGAACUUGAUCAUCUAGAGGAAGUAAAAGUCGUAACA
rnacentral:rRNA from 1 species